AUGGCGAGCGACAAGCAGCUCAGGGACUGGGUCUCCGACAAGCUCAUGUCCAUCCAGGGCUUCUCGACGAGCGUCCUCGUGCACUACGUCAUCGGCCUAGCCAAGGACUCCUCCUCCGCCGGCGAUCUCGUGGGGAAGCUCGUGGAGUACGGCUUCUCCUCGUCCGCCGAGACGAGCAGCUUCGCCGCCGACAUCUACGCCAAGGUCCCCCGCAAGGGCAGGGGCGUCAGUAAUUACCAGAAGCAGGAAAGGGAGGCAGCAAAGCUUGUGAAGAAGCAAAGCACUUACAAGUUGUUGGCCGAUGAGGACGAUGACGAGGUUGACAACCACACGGCGAGCUCGGCGAGCGCGUCCUCCAAGAGCAGGAAGCAUUUUAGGAGGAAGGCUCAAGACCAAGAUGAUGGGAAGGAUGAUGAUGAAACAACAGCACAUGUUUCUGAGAGGAGUGUCCGAAGGAGAACAGAAGAGGUGGAUGAUGAAGACGGCGACGACACUCUGGACGAAGAACAAGAAAUUUUAAGAGAUCAGCAGGAAAGGGCUCAGCUAGAGAAGAACAUGAGGGAAAGAGAUGCAGUACACACUCGAAAGUUGAUGGAGCGGCAGUUAUCUAAGGAAGAACAAGAGGAGCUUACCAGAAGAUCACAAGCACUGGAUAAGAAUGACACUUCAGAUCUGAGAAAUUUUUCAAGGCAAGCGUACUUGCAAAAGCGAAGGGAUAAAAAAAUUGAUGAGAUUCGGGACGAAAUUCUCGAUCAUGAAUACAUUUUUCAGGACGUGAAACUGACCCCAGCAGAAGAAAAUGACUUCAGAUACAAGAAGAAGAUUUAUGAUCUUGUUAAGGAGCAUGUUGAGAGUGCAGAUGAUGUUGCUGAGUACAAAAUGCCUGAAGCUUAUGACAUGGGUGAAGGUGUUAAUCAAGAAAAGAGAUUCUCGGUAGCAAUGCAGCGAUACAAAGAUCCUGAGGGCAAAGAUAAAAUGAAUCCUUUUGCUGAACAGGAAGCAUGGGAAGAACAUCAAAUAGGAAAGUCUAAACUGGAAUUUGGAUCGAAAGACAGGAAGCGGUCUUCUAAUGAAUACCAGUUUGUAUUUGAUGAUCAAAUUGAUUUUGUUAAAUCAUCGGUCAUAGAAGGAACACAGUUUGAAGAUGAUUCAGACCAAGAGACCAUUGAUGCAAAAGAUAUUCUUAAAAGGGAGCUCCAGGAUGAGCGGAAAACCCUUCCAAUCUAUAAAUUCAGAGAUGAACUGCUCAAGGCUGUUGAUGAAUAUCAGGUUAUUGUCAUAGUGGGAGAAACCGGCUCUGGUAAAACGACGCAAAUACCUCAAUAUCUUCAUGAAGCUGGAUACACAGCAAGAGGAAAGGUUGCUUGUACACAACCUCGUCGAGUGGCAGCUAUGAGCGUUGCAGCAAGGGUUUCUCAAGAGAUGGGUGUUAAAUUGGGACACGAGGUUGGUUACUCCAUAAGGUUUGAGGAUUGCACCUCAGAGAAAACAAUGAUUAAAUACAUGACUGAUGGAAUGCUUUUGAGGGAGUUUCUUGGAGAACCAGAUUUGGCUGGCUAUAGUGUUGUCAUGGUUGAUGAGGCUCAUGAGCGCACGCUGUCUACUGAUAUCUUGUUUGGUCUGGUGAAGGACAUUGCUAGGUUUCGCCCAGACCUGAAGUUGCUCAUUUCAAGUGCAACCCUUGACGCAGAAAAAUUUAGCGACUACUUUGAUUCAGCUCCUAUUUUCAAGAUUCCUGGGAGGCGAUACCCUGUUGAAGUACAUUAUACAAAAGCUCCAGAAGCAGAUUACAUUGAUGCUGCCAUUGUCACUAUUUUACAGAUACAUGUGACUCAGCCCCCUGGUGAUAUCCUAGUGUUCCUUACAGGACAGGAAGAAAUUGAAACAGUUGAUGAAAUCCUGAAACACAAAACAAGGGGUUUAGGCACAAAGAUUCCGGAGCUAAAUAUAUGCCCUAUUUAUGCAAAUCUGCCUACUGAACUUCAAGCGAAGAUCUUUGAGAUAACCCCCGAGGGUUCUCGGAAAGUGGUCCUGGCCACUAAUAUAGCAGAGACUUCAUUAACCAUUGAUGGUAUAAAAUAUGUUAUUGACCCAGGUUUUUGCAAGAUCAAGUCAUACAACCCUCGUACAGGGAUGGAAUCCCUGCUUAUCAAUCCUAUCUCAAAGGCAUCAGCAAACCAGAGGGCAGGAAGAUCUGGACGGACAGGACCAGGAAAAUGUUUCCGUCUGUACACAAGUUAUAACUACAUGCAUGAUCUUGAGGAUAAUACUGUUCCAGAGAUACAAAGAACCAACCUUGCAAAUGUUGUUCUUACACUUAAGAGUCUUGGCAUUCAUGACUUGGUUAAUUUUGAUUUUAUGGACCCACCUCCUUCAGAGGCCUUAUUGAAGGCCCUGGAACAACUUUUUGCUCUCAGUGCACUCAACAGUCGUGGAGAGUUGACCAAGACUGGAAGACGAAUGGCAGAGUUUCCACUAGAUCCUAUGCUGUCAAAGAUGAUAGUAGCUUCAGAGAAAUAUAAGUGUUCUGAUGAGGUCAUGUCCAUUGCAUCAAUGUUGUCGAUCGGAAAUUCUAUAUUCUACCGUCCGAAGGACAAACAGGUUCAUGCAGAUAAUGCAAGAUUGAACUUCCACACUGGGAACGUCGGGGACCACAUAGCAUUACUCAAUGUCUAUAACUCAUGGAGAGAAACAGACUUCUCGACUCAAUGGUGUUAUGAAAAUUAUAUCCAGGUCCGCAGCAUGAAGAGAGCAAGAGACAUUCGAGAUCAACUGGAGGGACUUAUGGAGAGAGUUGAGAUUGAGGUCUGUUCAAAUGCUAGUGACUUGGAUGCUAUUAAAAAGGCCAUAACAUCCGGUUUCUUCCACCAUUCUGCACGGUUGCAGAAGAAUGGUUCAUAUAGAACUGUCAAGAACCCUCAGACGGUCUUUAUCCACCCUAGUUCAGGAUUAGCACAGCUACUUCCUCGCUGGGUAAUAUACCACGAACUAGUUCUCACGACAAAAGAGUACAUGCGUCAGGUGACGGAACUGAAGCCCGAAUGGCUGGUGGAAAUCGCGCCACACUACUACCAACUAAAAGAUGUGGACGACGCUGGUUCAAAGAAGCUGCCCAAGGGCCAAGGACGAGCCGCAUUGUAG
rnacentral:rRNA from 1 species